rnacentral:rRNA from 1 species
GAUGAACGCUAGCUACAGGCUUAACACAUGCAAGUCGAGGGACCGGCGCACGGGUGAGUAACACGUAUCCAACCUACCCUUUACUCGGGGAUAGACUGUCGAAAGAAAGAUUAAUACCCGAUAUAAUGGAUAGGGAUGCGUUCCAUUAGGUUGUUGGUGAGGUAACGGUUCACCAAGCCUUAGAUGGAGAGGGGGUAUGAGAGGAAGGUCCCAUGCAUUGGAACUGUGACACGGUCCAAACGCGUACGGGAGGCAGCGGUGAGGAAUAUUGGUCAAUGGGCUCUAGCCUGAACCAGCCAAGUAGCGUGAAGGAUGAAGGCUUAUGGGUCGUAAACUUCUUUUAUAUAAGAAUAUGUAUUAUAUGAAUAAGGAUCGGCUAACUCCGUGCCAGCAGCCGCGGUAAUAC